AAAUUGAAGAGUUUGAUCAUGGCUCAGAUUGAACGCUGGCGGCAGGCCUAACACAUGCAAGUCGAACGGUAACAGGAAGCAGCUUGCUGCUUUGCUGACGAGUGGCGGACGGGUGAGUAAUGUCUGGGAAACUGCCUGAUGGAGGGGGAUAACUACUGGAAACGGUGGCUAAUACCGCAUAACGUCGCAAGACCAAAGAGGGGGACCUUCGGGCCUCUUGCCAUCAGAUGUGCCCAGAUGGGAUUAGCUAGUUGGUGAGGUAACGGCUCACCAAGGCGACGAUCCCUAGCUGGUCUGAGAGGAUGACCAGCCACACUGGAACUGAGACACGGUCCAGACUCCUACGGGAGGCAGCAGUGGGGAAUAUUGCACAAUGGGCGCAAGCCUGAUGCAGCCAUGCCGCGUGUAUGAAGAAGGCCUUAGGGUUGUAAAGUACUUUCAGCGGGGAGGAAGGUGUUGCGGUUAAUAACCGCAGCAAUUGACGUUACCCGCAGAAGAAGCACCGGCUAACUCCGUGCCAG
rnacentral:rRNA from 1 species